GAUACCAGGGUUAAAAGACUGGUAUCAGUGAUCUGAGAGCUGAGACGAAGCACCAUUGGUGUGAAGUGACUCGUGCCCAUGCUUCCUGGAAAAGUCUCUAAGUUUCAGCUUAAUUAGAGCCGUACCCCAAACCGACACAGGUGGUCGGGUAGAGGAUACCAAGGCGCUUGGGAGAACUCAGGUGAAGGAACUAGGCAAAAAUUGUACCGUAACUUCGGGAUAAGGUACGCUGUAACCGGUGAGGGGACUAGCUCCUUAAGCUGGGAACAGCCGCAGAGAAAUGGUGGCUGGGACUGUUUAAACAAAAAACACAGCAACUCUGCAAAACCUGAAAGGGGAAGUAUAAGGGUGUGACACCUGACCCGGUGCCGGAAGGUUAAAUGAAUGGGGUUAAGGCGCAAAGCUGAAAGCUCCUGAGUGAAAGCCCCCGGUAAAACGGCGGCCGUAAACGAUAAACGGUCCUAAGGUAAGCGAAAAUUCCUUGUACGGGGCAAAGUUCCGAACCUGCAACGAAUGGCAAGUCGUGGGAAGGCA
rnacentral:sRNA from 1 species